rnacentral:rRNA from 1 species
CGACCGGCGCACGGGUGAGUAACACGUAUGCAACCUGGCCAUGACAGAUGGAUAACCGGGAGAAAUCCCGCCUAAUACAGCAUGACGCCGGGAAGGGACAUCCCUUUCCGGCCAAAGGGGGCGACUCCGGUCACGGAUGGGCAUGCGGCGCAUUAGGUAGUUGGUGGGGCAACGGCCCACCAAGCCGACGAUGCGUAGGGGUUCUGAGAGGAAGGUCCCCCACAUUGGAACUGAGACACGGUCCAAACUCCUACGGGAGGCAGCAG